UGCCUUUUAAUUGGAGGCUGGUAUGAAUGGUUUGACGAGGGCUGAGCUGUCUCUCCUGGAAUAUUUAAAAAUUAACUUCUAAGUGAAAAGGCUUAGAUUUAGCUGAGGGACGAGAAGACCCUGUUGAGCUUUAGUGUGGAAUAAAGGGGUUGUUUCUAUUAGAAUAGAGGAUUUUAAAUUUAUUCUUACAUCUUUAGUUGGGGUGACUAGGGAACAUGAAAAGCUUCUCUGUUAAUUUGUAGAAUUUUGGUUUACUAACAAGUGAUCCAGCAUUGCUGAUUAUCGGAAAAAGUUACCACAGGGAUAACAGCGUAAUCUUUCUGGAGAGUUCACAUUGAAAGAAGGGUUUGCGACCUCGAUGUUGGAUUAAGGUGUCCUGAGGGUGUAGCAGCUUUCGUUGGUUGGUCUGUUCGACCAUUAAAAC
rnacentral:rRNA from 1 species